CAAAAUCUGGAUAACACAGAUCUGUGUAAAAAAAUUACACAGCUUGACGAUCAGUUCUAGCUUUCAAAAUCUGUGUAGUUUCCUGACACAGUUCUGUGUAAAAUAUUACACAGAUUUUUGAACAGCGUCUCUUCUAAAUCUGUGUAAAAUAGAGUUGGCGUCACUGUCGUUCAUUUCCCGCACUUCUGCUGAGCUGAGAAGCAUAUCUUCGCGAGUACAGUAAAAGAGUGAACCAAACUUCCAACUCCUCCGGCAAGAACACCAAGCUUUGAGAUUUUGAGAUUUCCUAGCCAUCGUCGCUACAGGUUCGGACCAGAAAGCCCUCCAGCAAGGAAGCGCCAGCAGAAACAGUAACCUGAUUCGUGAUCUUCCGCCGAUUCGCUGCCCCGGUCCCCGCGACCAAGAAAGGAUUCGCUGCUCCGGUUCCCGCGGCCAAGGAAGGAUUCGCUGCCUCGGUUCCCGCGACCAAGGAAGGCCAGCGUUUGCGGUAGGUUUCUUUUGAUAAACUUUGUUAGAUUAAAUCUAAUUCUUGUUUUUUUAGAUCGCUCGUGCACUACCCAACUUCUUCGAACGUCUCGGCCAGAUUCGGACCAAAAAGUCCUCCGACAAUGAAGCGCCAGCCGAAACAACAACCUGAUUCGGGAUCUUCCGGUGAUUCGCUGCCCCGGUUUCCGCGACCAAGAAAGGAUUCGCUGCUCCGGUUCCCGCGGCCAAGGAAGGAUUUGCUGCCUCAAGAUUGAAUAAAAAAGGUUCAUUGUUUUUGUUUA